rnacentral:lncRNA from 1 species
CACCUGUAUUUCUCAUAGCACAAAUAAACAUAUUUAUUACUCAAGGAGUAUUUAUCUGUUUGCUAGAUAUGGGCUGAACUGUAAAACUGGAAGCAUUGAGUGCUGCUUGAUGUGAGCUGAGGAGCAAUGGAACUCCAGCUGCUAAGGCAUCCAUUCAGUGGGACUUAGUCCUUUGCUACCAUACUCCUUUCCACAUUGCUCUCCUCGUUGCUGAAGAAUAGUAGCACUAUAUGUACAUGGAUAUUAACUUCAAAGCUCAAUCCUGUCGAUCAACAUUAAGAAGGAUGAUGAUGUAAGACAGCAUAUGGUGAGAAAAACUAUCCAUAACAAAAAGCACAAGUCCUUCUCUGAUGUGCUUCUCUUCUAUUGAACAGCUGCCAGUAUAUGGGAGGCAGAGUUAAUGGAGAGCAAUUCUUCCAUUGACUCCAAGCACUGCACCACAGAGAACAUCUGUCAGCAGCAGAGCUUGCUUUCACUUUCACAGUGCACUGUUGCUUGUGUCAGAAGUUCACUGACUCUGGAUGCAGUCAUGAAUGCUGAGUGAUUCUACAAAGUGGGUCCUGUUCCUUAUGCUCCACCCUUCUUGAGUUAACACUGAAGGGACACUUCACUUCAGAAGGAUGAAAGAAUAGCUCUUAUGAACUUGCCAUCAUCUGCACCACAGCUGGCAUCAACAACACUGCUGAGCCUCACAGUGAAAAGAGGCUAUGAGCUAGAUCUGGUGAGAAUUAAAUGCUUUUAAAGUGUUUU